CCUACGGGAGGCAGCAGUGGGGAAUAUUGGACAAUGGGCGAAAGCCUGAUCCAGCAAUGCCGCGUGAGUGAUGAAGGCCUUCGGGUCGUAAAGCUCUUUUACCAGGGAUGAUAAUGACAGUACCUGGAGAAUAAGCUCCGGCUAACUCCGUGCCAGCAGCCGCGGUAAUACGGAGGGAGCUAGCGUUGUUCGGAAUUACUGGGCGUAAAGAGUACGUAGGCGGUUAUUCAAGUCAGAGGUGAAAGCCCGGGGCUCAACCCCGGAACUGCCUUUGAAACUAGAUAACUAGAGUCUUGGAGAGGUUAGUGGAAUUCCGAGUGUAGAGGUGAAAUUCGUAGAUAUUCGGAAGAACACCAGUGGCGAAGGCGACUAACUGGACAAGUACUGACGCUGAGGUACGAAAGCGUGGGGAGCAAACAGGAUUAGAUACCCUGGUAGUCCACGCCGUAAACGAUGAUAACUAGUUGUUCGGUCACUUGGUGACUGAGUGACGCAGCUAACGCAUUAAGUUAUCCGCCUGGGGAUACGGUCGCAAGNUUAAAACUCAAAUAAUUGACGG
rnacentral:rRNA from 1 species